AAUUUACAUGAGAUUCGCUCGCGGCGUGUGACGUGUUUACUCUCUUCGGAUCCGACAUCGUCGUAGCGCGAUAUCGCGUCACAUGUCGCGGGAGAGCGAGUCGUCAGAUAGAGAAUAAUCGCGCGGAUGGGAUGGUGAAGACACAUCGCCAGCCGCACUACGGCAACCCAAUUAUGGGUGAUAACGAACGAAUUUAACUGGCACGUUCAUCGGUGUCGGUAAAUCUCUUUCUCCACCGUUUGUUUUUACACGUGCGCGUGUGUUUUUUAUGGCAAAGCGGCGAUUGAUAACGAUCGAUGAAAAUUACGUUCGACGUCGUCGGGUCUCUCCUCGGUCGUUGUAUUGGCGUAAGUAAGACGUCAGUUGCGAGCAAAGCUGUAUCUACGAAUAAGUAGAGACAUUAAGUAUUCAUAAAACACAUUUUAGCAUAUGUUAUAAAUAUUCAGAUCCAGAGAAUUUUCACACGGCAAUACUAUAUAUUAUAUAGUUCCGGUCUUGUAGAUACAACUUCAUUUAUUGAUUAAUAGCGUUUUAUUCUUAAAAAAUGAAUUCACAUUGACAUUGAGAGCAUCCAAUUACAUCGAUCAUUGUCACCGCGUGAGAAAGUGUAAAUUAAAAUAAUUUUUCUUUAUUACCUGUAUUUUUCUACGAUACAAUUUUCGGCGAUUUCCUUCCUCUUAUUUAUUUCCUGGGAGGCUGUCUUGUGAAUCGACGCAGGCAAAAUCAAAGAAAAGCGAAAGGAAAAGUAGACGAAAAUUACGAAGCACAGUACGACGCAACCGACUGGAUCUCCUCGCGUUUUCGUUCUCGCAAGAUCGUUUCGAUUACGCAUUAACAGGUCGACCUUAGGCGACAAGCAUUUGGUCUCGGAGCACGCUACUUAUUGCCUCGUAAAUUCGAUUCCCGUAACUGUCACCACGAAAUCUGGAGAGAAUUUCAGCGUCAACGAGCAGAUGUGUGAGCGAUCGUUAACACUACUAACUCAUUGUUAGUCUGCUCUAAUCAGCGAUGGAGGCGUUUCCAUUUGCUCCUCUUGAAACAAUGUAUAUUGGCCAGAUUUCUCUUGAUCUUGAGAGAUCACGAGCAAACACACCGAUUGCAACAAGAGACCCCUCCUGAUCGACUUCGUUGGAAGGUUUGCCGUGAAAUCGUUACGCUACGUCUCAGAGCACAUUAAAUGAUAUCAUAAUACUUUAAUGUUUAUUAAAUGCUUCUUAAAUCUUCUCUAACACACAUUUUUAAAUAUUCAAAAAAA